UGCAAGGGCACUCUGUGUCACAUUGAUAUUCACAAGUGGAACAAUUUGUAACCUUGCUAUAAUAAUUACAUAUUUUGAGACUGUAAACUCUAUAUCUUACUUUAA